rnacentral:rRNA from 2 species
UACGUAGGGACCGAGCGUUGUCCGGAAUCAUUGGGCGUAAAGAGCGUGUAGGCGGCUUGCUAAGUCUUGCGUGAAAUCUCGGGGCUCAACCCCGAGCGGUCGUGGGAAACUGGCAGGCUAGAGUGCGGGAGAGGAGAAUGGAAUUCCUGGUGUAGCGGUGAAAUGCGCAGAUAUCAGGAAGAACACCCGUGGCGAAGGCGGUUCUCUGGAACGCAACUGACGCUGAGACGCGAAAGCGUGGGGAGCAAACAGG